GACGAACGCUGGCGGCGUGCUUAACACAUGCAAGUCGAACGGAAAGGCCCUGCUUUUGUGGGGUGCUCGAGUGGCGAACGGGUGAGUAACACGUGAGUAACAUGCCCUUGACUUUGGGAUAACUUCAGGAAACUGGGGCUAAUACCGGAUAGGAGCUCCUGCUGCAUGGGGGGGGUUGGAAAGUUUCGGCGGUUGGGGAUGGACUCGCGGCUUAUCAGCUUGUUGGUGGGGUAGUGGCUUACCAAGGCUUUGACGGGUAGGCGGCCUGGGAGGGUGACCGGCCACAUUGGGACUGCGAUACGGCCCAGACUCCUACGGGCGGCAGCAGUGGGGAAUAUUGCACAAUGGGCGGAAGCCUGAUGCGACAACGCCGCGUGCGGGAUGACGGCCUUCGGGUUGUAAACCGCUUUCGCCUGUGACGAAGCGUGAGUGACGGUAAUGGGUAAAGAAGCACCGGCUAACUACGUG
rnacentral:rRNA from 1 species